UUGUCGAAUUCCUGCAAAAGCACACCGCGAAUAUGUUAAACAAUAUUUGGACUGCGGGUCUUGGGGUGACCUUUUUCCCGCGCCAUUUCUCGCACGUCCCGCACUCUGGCGCGAGAUGUGCGGGCUAACGAACCCCGGCGCGGCAUGCGCCAAGGAGAACUCAUAGAAGCGUCGAACUCCCUCCGCCCCGUUCGCGGUGUACGGUGGGUGAACCGAUGUCUCUCCAAUGUCAUAACGACUCUCGGCAACGGAUAUCUCGGCUCUCGCAUCGAUGAAGAACGUAGCGAAAUGCGAUACUUGGUGUGAAUUGCAGAAUCCCGUGAACCAUCGAGUCUUUGAACGCAAGUUGCGCCCGAAGCCAUUCGGCCGAGGGCACGUCUGCCUGGGAGUCACGCCUCGCGUCGCCUCCCACUCCCAAGCCCCGAGGGGUGAUUGGGUGGUGGGGGCGGAAAUUGGCCCCCCGUGUGAUCGUCCACGCGGCCGGCCUAAAUGUGAACCCGUGACAACUCACGUCACGACCAGUGGUGGUUGAGCACUCAACUCUCGUGCUGUCGUGCUGUUUUGAGUUGAUUUCGGGAUUCAUCGCAGUCCCUGCGGCGUGAACAUAUCGCGCCCUCGACCGCGACCCCA
rnacentral:rRNA from 1 species